UAAACACAAAAAUGGAUAACAAAAGGUUUAGAACUCGGCAUUCAUGUUGUUUUGUUUUCUCUUUUUCUUUUCGCGCUUAACUCAUAGCUCUAGGGGUUUAUUCACUUUUGACUCUUUUUACUCAAUUUUCUGUGAGCAUUUUACAGGUGUUAGAGUCUUCAGUCUUAGCAAGUGCAUUUUUCUCUUUUGUUUUUGUUUUUGUUUUUUUAUUUUUAUUUGGACAUACACAAAUCUCUUCUUUUUGUAUGAUCUCUUAUUAUUCACUUACCCUAUCUUUCAAGAUUACCACCCCAAACUUAGCUUUAUGCACAUCUUGUAACUUACAACAAUCAUGCCGAGUGAUGGAAGAAAUGAAUGAUUAGUGGUUAACAUGGGGUUUAUUUUGAAUAAAAUGGCUAAGGCUCAACGGGGUUCACAAAGGGAAAACAUACAGAUAGGGAUGGCUAGAAAGGCCCUGGCUAAAUAAACAACUUGCCUCAGUGUGUGUUGUCAUGAUGUGAAGUGUCAAAAGGACAUACGCAAAAUCAGAGUGGUAGAGUCAUACCUGGCUCAAACUCUCAUGUUGAUGUUUAGUGUCUGGCUUUUUGUAAUCUCACCAUGUUGGU
rnacentral:lncRNA from 1 species